GUAUCACCUUUUGAGUUUGUUCUUGUGGGUUUCGAGGAGUUUAAAAGCCUUCUGAUUUGCUAGGAUUGGGCUCUUUUGGUGUACUUUCUCGUACGGUUAGUCAACAUCGGUUUUGAAUGUCAUAAAAUGACUGGAGGAAUGUGGCUUCGAUCUCGUAUCGAAGUGUUAUAACCUUUGGUAGAUGUGAUGUUCGAGACCGAGGAUUGCAACGGAUACCUUCUGGGCUAUUCGUCUGAUCUCUGAUACGUUGCCUUGAUGUCGAAAGCGUGCUUAUGAUGUUAGGGUAUUACGGUCAAAAGGUUAGAACGGAUUAAAUUCGUUAAGGAUGUUGACGUA
rnacentral:rRNA from 1 species